GACGAACGCUGGCGGCGUGCCUAAUACAUGCAAGUCGAGCGCAGGAAAUCGACGGAACCCUUCGGGGGGAAGUCGACGGAAUGAGCAGCGGACGGGUGAGUAACACCUAAAGAACCUGCCCUCAGGUCUGGGAUAACCACGAGAAAUCGGGGCUAAUACCGGAUGGGUCAUCGGACCGCAUGGUCCGAGGAUGAAAGGCGCUUCGGCGUCGCCUGGGGAUGGCUUUGCGGUGCAUUAGCUAGUUGGUGGGGUAAUGGCCCACCAAGGCGACGAUGCAUAGCCGACCUGAGAGGGUGAUCGGCCACACUGGGACUGAGACACGGCCCAGACUCCUACGGGAGGCAGCAGUAGGGAAUCUUCCACAAUGGACGAAAGUCUGAUGGAGCAACGCCGCGUGAACGAUGAAGGCCUUCGGGUCGUAAAGUUCUGUUGUAAGGGAAGAACAAGUGCCGCAGGCAAUGGCGGCACCUUGACGGUACCUUGCGAGAAAGCCACGGCUAACUACGUGCCAGCCGCCGCCGUAA
rnacentral:rRNA from 1 species